rnacentral:rRNA from 1 species
CAUUCACGGAGAGUUUGAUCCUGGCUCAGGACGAACGCUGGCGGCGUGCUUAACACAUGCAAGUCGAACGAUGAAGCCCUUCGGGGUG